rnacentral:rRNA from 1 species
UACAGAGAGUGCGAACGUUGUUCGGAAUUACUGGGCUUAAAGCGCACGUAGGCGGCGCCGCAAGUGCGGGGUGAAAUCCCACGGCUUACCCGUGGAACUGCCUUGCAGACUGUGGUGCUAGAGGAUGGUAGGGGAGAGCGGAACUCCUGGUGGAGCGGUGAAAUGCGUAGAUAUCAGGAGGAACACCGGUGGCGAAGGUGGCUCUCUGGUCCAUGACUGACGCUGAGGUGCGAAAGCUAGGGGAGCAAACGGG